UACGUAGGGUGCAAGCGUUAAUCGGAAUUACUGGGCGUAAGGCGUGCGCAGGCGGUUAUGCAAGUCAGAUGUGAAAUCCCCGGGCUUAACCUGGGAACCGCAUUUGUGACUGCAUAGCUGGAGUACGGCAGAGGGGGAUGGAAUUCCGCGUGUAGCAGUGAAAUGCGUAGAUAUGCGGAGGAACACCGAUGGCGAAGGCAGUCCCCUGGGCCUGUACUGACGCUCAUGCACGAAAGCGUGGGGAGCAAACAGG
rnacentral:rRNA from 1 species